rnacentral:tRNA from 1 species
UACACUUAACCUUGAUUGAAGCCAAAAGGCUAACCAUUGUUACUGGUUAUAUUGGAAUUACCCUGUCGUUUUUACAGUGUAU